UGAGUUUGAUCCUGGCUCAGGAUUAACGCUGGCGGCGUGCCUAAUACAUGCAAGUCGAACGGAGAGCUUUCGGUAAUUUAUUACUGGAAGUUUCUUAGUGGCGAACGGGUGAGUAACGCGUUGGUGAUCUGCCCCGAAGAGAGGGACAACUCUGGGAAACUGGAGCUAAUACCUCAUGUGGUCAUAGUAUUUAGAAAACUAUGUCUAAAGGACUUCGGUCCGCUUCGGGAGGAACCUGCGUCCCAUCAGCUAGUUGGUAGGGUAACGGCCUACCAAGGCUAAGACGGGUAGGGGACCUGAGAGGGUGGCCCCCCACAAUGGUACUGAAACACGGACCAUACACCUACGGGUGGCAGCAGUAGGGAAUUUUGCCCAAUGGACGAAAGUCUGAGGCAGCAACGCCGCGUGUGCGAUGAAGGCCUUCGGGUUGUAAAGCACUUUUCUGAGGGAAGAGGAAGGACGGUACCUCAGGAAUAAGUCUCGGCUAACUACGUGCCAGCAGCCGCGGUAACACGUAGGAGGCAAGCGUUAUCCGGAUUUACUGGGCGUAAAGCGCGUGCAGGCGGUUCGACAAGUUGGAUGUGAAAUCUCCCGGCUCAACUGGGAGAGGUCGUUCAAAACUAUCGGACUAGAGGACGGUAGAGGAAGGUAGAAUUCCUGGUGUAGUGGUGAAAUGCGUAGAUAUCAGGAGGAAUACCAGUGGCGAAGGCGGCCUUCUGGGCCGUUCCUGACGCUAAGACGCGAAAGCAUGGGUAGCGAACGGGAUUAGAAACCCCGGUAGUCCAUGCCGUAAACGAUGCAAACUUGGUGUUGGUGGUGUAAAAGCCAUCAGUGCCGCAGCUAACGCGAUAAGUUUGCCGCCUGGGGAUUACGACCGCAAGGUUAAAACUCAAAGGAAUUGACGG
rnacentral:rRNA from 1 species